rnacentral:misc_RNA from 1 species
GUUUCCAAGUUGGUGAAAUAGUGGCAAGCUUGAGCAUUAUUCGCUAGAACUUUUUGUUAGUUAUGGUAUUAGGUGAAAGAUUUAUCACCACAGCUGGUGUAGAUCACGUCUUCCCAACAUUUCACUUAGCACCAGUGUCUCAGUGAACCUGAUUACCCAUUCCAAUGCUCUAUUUUGGUGAACUAGUGAUCUGUGUAAACUGCUUCUGGUGGCCUUGCUGGUUGGUUGAAAUGUGG